UACGUAGGCGGAAAAUUAAGUCAGUGGUGAAAUCCUGCGGCUUAACCGUAGAACUGCCAUUGAUACUGUUAGUCUUGAGUUCGGUUGAGGUAGGCGGAAUGUGUAAUGUAGCGGUGAAAUGCUUAGAUAUUACACAGAACACCGAUUGCGAAGGCAGCUUACUAAACUAUGAUUGACGCUGAGGCACGAAAGCGUGGGGAGCGAACAGGAUUAGAUACCCUGGUAGUCC
rnacentral:rRNA from 1 species